AGCUCCAAUAGCGUAUAUUAAAGUUGCUGCAGUUAAAAAGCUCGUAGUUGCAUUUCCGAGGCAAGGGAUUAGUUCGACCUUUGGUGGGUAUUUAAUCCUCUUGCCUCGUCCUUGAGUGGUGCUUCUUGGUAUUAAGUUAUCGAGGAGAUAGCCGCUCAUCGUUUACUGUGAGAAAAUUAGAGUGUUCAAAGCAGGCUUAUGCCGUUGAAUAUAUUAGCAUGGAAUAAUAAGAUAGGACCUCGGUACUAUUUUGGUGGUUUGAGAACCAAGGUAAUGAUGAAUAGGGACAGUUGGGGGUAUUCGUAUUCAGUUGUCAGAGGUGAAAUUCUUAGAUUUACGGAAGACGAACUACUGCGAAAGCAUUUACCAAGGAUGUUUUCA
rnacentral:rRNA from 1 species